ACGGGUGAGUAACACGUAGGCAACCUGCCGACUGGUUGGGGACAACAUUCCGAAAGGAAUGCUAAUACCCAAUGAACCGCAGGACAGGCAUCUCUCCUGCGUGAAAAAUGGCCUCUAGAUUGAGCUAUCACCUGUCGAUGGGCCUGCGUCUGAUUAGCUGGUAGGUGAGGUAACGGCUCACCUAGGCGACGAUCUGUAGCCGGUCUGAGAGGAUGAACGGCCACAUUGGGACUGACACACGGCCCAAACUCCUACGGUAGGCAACAGUGGGAAAUCUUCCGCAAUGGGCGCCAGCCGGACGGAGCAACGCCGCGUGAGUGAAGAACGUCUUCGGAUCGUAAAGCUCUGUUGAUGGGGACCAACGUGCCUAAUGCUAAUACCAUUAGGUAAUGACGGUACCCAUCGAGGAAGCCACGGCUAACUACGUGCCAUGAGCCGCGGUGAUACGUAGGUGGCUAGCGUUGUCCCGAGUCAUUGCGCGUAAAUUGAGCGCAGGCCUGCUUGUAAGUCUUUCUUACUAGUGCGAGGCUCAGCCACAUGAUGUUAAAGAUACUAUGUGUCUUGACUACAGGAUAGGAAAGCGUACUUCUCAGUGUAGCGAUGAGAUGCGUCUAUAUUGACAGGAACACCAGUGACCAUGGCGGCUUUAUGGACUGCAACUGACUCUGAGGCUCCAAACCCAGGGAGCGUACGGGAUUGAUAUACCUCCGGUACUCCUG
rnacentral:rRNA from 1 species